ACACACAGACCAUGGAAUCCAGUAAAAAUCACGAAAAAGUAGGCGGGCGCUUGGAGAAAGUGCUGCGCUACUACUGGGAUGGUGUUCCUGUACCACUUAUGUGCAAUGAAGGAAAGCAGCGAAGUCAAACUUUUGUGUGUCGGAGGCUCGCCUUCGCACCAGAUUACCAUGGUGAAACUAUGGAGCUGCCACUUUUACAGACACAAAAAAGCCAACUUUUUAGGGCGCUUUGUGAAUAUGUUGAUUCUCCCCAGUCCGUGAGCUGCCGCAUCGGUUCCCAUUAUUCACCACAUGUGGGACUAUUUCGCUUUGAUGAAGGAAAGCGGCUUCAUGGUGCUUCUAGUCAGGACAGCGAGUCAGUUGUGCGCGUACCGAUAGAGUGCUGCGAGAAAUCCGAUGAAGGCACGAAUGGCGUCUCCAUGCUGCAUCGUCGCAUUCGAACGGCGAAAAUGGUGUCUCUGUACAAGCCGCUGAUCAAGGAAUACUCUCCCCUCAGCCGGCACAGCCUGCGAAAUAUUUUGAUACUAGCGAGCAGAGGGUGCACCUCCAUCUCCAAGGAGGUCGUGGCGCGCGAGAUAUGCGACGUGAACGAAGCGUACGCAGAGGCAGUAUCAGAGGGUAUCUUUUACUAUAUGUGCCUUAACCAUCUGUUUCGAAGGAUUUUGGCUCCACUUCAGCUAGCGACUGAGCCGGAGCCCACCAUACGCAGCAUCACUUACGCAUCAGCUCAGGAAAUACCGCUUUCGCGGGAGCACUUCAAAGCGGCCAAGGAGCAGCUCAAAUCUCAAUUGCUUUGGAAUCCUCUCACUGGCAACUAUUUCAGAGGGCUAAUGUCGAUCUGGGAAGAGAAAUUUUCGCGACUCCGGUUUUUCAGCAUUGACGUGACCGUUGCUUGCAUCGACGUCGUCGCUUUUCUCAAGCAAGUGUCCAAGACGAUGAGCUCCGCCGUUUCACGAAUUCGCGUCGAGUUUUACGGUUGCGUCGAAGCGCUCUUUUUUUCACAUUUCAAAACAGCUCGUGAGGUGCUGCUCCUGACUGAACGGGAGUAUGAGGGCAGCGUGUUCAAAAAGGUUUUUGUUGCCACAGAGGUAUUCUUAGUCAACAGGAUAAGAUCCCUUUUUUUCGAUGCCCUGGAUUCCCUUGUGCGGUUUUUUGAUUGUGACGGCUUAGCCAACGAGGUCAGAAUAUCACCGCGUGCUCGACGACUGCCUUCCUUGCGUGUUGAACUAGUCGUCGGCGAGAGCUUCCAACCCCGAGCCCCAUCGUUUUCUCUUCUGCUGUUUGGCAUAGCGGACUUUUUUACAGAGGUGGAAAAGAGCAUUAAUGGCUUACCAAGGCUGGCUUGCGCAAUUUUCCGAGAACCGAGGCUCGGCGACAAGAAACUCACCAUUGUGUCGCACGUGGAGAUGGCCUCGUACCGUGCGUCGAUCGCAGGAGUGCUAGAAAGCGCAUCAGUACUGAUUAACAAGAUUUUGUCCUCCUAUAGCAAAUUUUGCAAGAUACCAGUGCACAACCUUGCCAUUGCAAAGACGGGAACACCGGCGGAGGUGGUGGAGCUCGUGGUGCUCGCGCGACGAAACCUGACCGAUAUUCGUCACGUCUCUCAUGAUGUUCUGUUCUACGGGCGCCUUGAGAUCAGUUGCCGUCCGUUGCGGUUGGAGCUGACGCAGAAGUGGGAAAGUUAUUUGUCGGCUUUUGUGUCUGCAUUCCAGAGCACCAUAGUGAGUAUUGUCGACGAGGCAAAGGCAAAGAGCCGUGCGAUUCUUGACAUGCUUCAAGCCACCCCUUCGACGGUGCAGGAGUUGGAGCAGCACUUGCGCAAUACCAAAGCGGCGAUUGCUUUGGCCGACUAUCUGUGCGACACGAGUCACAAACAGAUCGCCGACAGGGUCAGCUGCAUUGAAAACCUGUUUAUUCCAGUCAACGAGCACGCAUGCCGCUCUGUCUUUGAGUUCAAGAAACUUCCAGGUGAGCUUCGAGGCCAGGCAGACAAAAGCGGCGACAUUCGAGCCAAAUGCACACCGCUGUUGAGGCGCAAGCUGGAGAAUCUACGUAGUACCAUUCGUGACUACUACCGAACUCUUUCUACAGGUGUGAAGGAGUUGUACCAUAUGUUCGAUUUGGAUACUUGCGACAUUGCAGCUCAAACCUGUGCCGAGCUGCGCAAGCUAGUCGCACGCAUAGAAAAAACGCAGAAGAGUAUGGAGCACGAAAUGACGGUGCUGGGUCUGCCAUCCGAGGACUCGUUCGAUGAUUAUUUGCCCCUCAUGACUCACUUCGAGAUUAUCGAGCAGUUUUGGAUCACAGUGUUCGAAUCGACAAAAUUGCGUGAGCUGUACCGGACACCAGUAUCUUCCGUCAACGCUAGUGCAUUUGUCGAGCGCGCCCGUGAGUGGCGCCGGCUCAUUCACAGCUCCAUCCGCAACUUGCGCGCCUACCCCGCCUUGGUUCAUCUCGGCCGCGAGCAGGAACUGGCACUCGCCAAGUUUGAGGAGUUGGAGCUGUUUCUUGAACUCAUCACGACGCCUGGACUGCGCAAGAGUCACUGGCGCGACAUCGCGAAGCUGAUCUCGGCACAGUUGCGGGACGACGUCAUGUUGGUGACGAACAUGACAGUUACAGUGAAGCGCUUGCUCGACGCCGGCCUGCUCGACCACAUUGUCCCCUUGGCGCAGAUUGUUAGCCAGGCUCGCUGCGACUACGAAGUGGAGAACGAACUUGAGGAGAUGCGGAGCUAUGCCAAGCGCACGCACCUUGUUCUUGAAAACACAGCAGCUGAGAAUGACCUGAACGCACUGCUAUUGCAGGAGCCUCAGCGUGAGAUGGUGUAUCGAAUCGAGGAGUACGUGCUCAAGUGCCGUGCGAUGCGACGCCGGCCCAACUUGGGGCCAUCUGUCCUGAAGUCCUUGGACGAGUGGGUUGACGCGUGUGAGAAGAGCCGCGGCGUGCUUUUGGCGUGGGAUCAGGUGAAGGGGCGGUGGGUAAAGCUGCGUGCGUGUCUGUCCUCGCUGCGGAGUGCGGUCGCCGAGGGCAUCUGUUCGGCCGAAGAGGCACGCAUCAUCACUAAAAGUCUCACAAUGGCUUCAGAUGCCUUCAAGGAGUUGUGUGCAAUCUUGCGCAAGCCGCAGUUUUCUCUUUACACAGCCAUGAUGCAAGACACAAUACAGGAUUUCCUUCUGACUAUCAAGUCAGAAGUGGACGAUGCGGCUGAGGUGCUGCUGGGUAUGACGGAGCGCCGCCGAGCUCUGUUCCCGCGGUUUCGAUUCCUGCCCGACUCGGAGCUCACAGGGUUUCAAUCCGUGCAAAGCGCUCACAGUUUUGCCCACCUCUUCCAAUACCUGUAUCCGCGCAUCACCGAUGUAGAGGUGAUAGACGGGGUUGUCACUGCUGUGGUGGCGGCGGACGGCGCACGCUUGCCCUUGUCUUCUUCUUUGGCGCUCACGAAAGAUACCCCAGACGCUUGGAUUCAGUGCUUUGACCGUGCGGUGCGCGCGUCUCUCGUCGCUGCAGUCAAGGAGUGCGUGGCUGCGUAUUACCGAUGCAACCUGGAAUCUUGGUUGCGGCAAUGGUGCGGUCAGGUAACGGUGCUCGCGCUGCGGAUUCUACAUACGGAAGGACUGCGGCGGGCACUACAGCUCGCUGGGCAAAAUGGGCUGAUUGCCUACAUCACCAAAGUGUCAGACCUCUGCAGCGCUAUCAGCAAGCUGGCGCAGGGCGGAUACGACAAAGGCGCGAAGGGUGGGCAACCGCGCAGCUACGAAGCCGUCGUGGCAGCUGCUCUGGCGUACGAGGAGUUCGCCUUGAGAGAGGUUCAGCUAGCGGUAGAAUGGCACGUGAGCAGUGUCACCGAGCUGGAGUCUACUCGUGUCGUGCAGACUUUUCUUACACCGGCGGAGGAUGGCAUCUGCGUUCGCAUGAUGGGCGUUCUCUUCGACUACGGGCUGGAAUUCCUCGGGCAUGCCAAUGCACCAAUGAUGAGUGCGGCGCAGUGGGUGCAAAUGGCGCCAGUGCUCGUCGAUAUGGAACUGUCCCGGAGUGUUUCGCUGGUGCGCGCCAGCGACGACGUUGCGGCGGAGGGAGAGGUCUUGGAAGCUGCCGCGAUGCUGCUUGGACGCUUCUUCUUUCGGGUUGAAGCCACAGAGCAUGUGCCCACCGAAACACUUCAACGUUUGCUACGCGGGUGUGUGGAAGUUGGGGCGUUGGCUUGUGUGAUGAAUUGUGAGGCCGUGCCGAGGGCCGUGCUGGAGGAAGCCGUUUUGCCUAUUGCCACCGCCUCUGUCGAGCAGCGCCGUUCCUCCGUCUGGCAGUUGCCCUAUGGUGGAAGAGACGACAUGGUCUCGGUUUCCGUGCACCCGCUGUUCCGGUUGGCCUUCUCUGCCGCUGCGCCGGUAGCGUUGCCCCGAAGUCUCGACCUCAUCUGCAGAGAGGUGCGCGUAGCUCCCUUCGAUGUUCAAGAAGCGCUGCACGAUUAUCUGACUCGGACGGGGGUGGUACCAGGGGGUCCUCUGUCCGCUGAGGAAGCUGAGUUUGCCAAGCUGUACCGACAGCUGCAAGAGUUGCAUCCGACCGUCUUCACGGCGCGCCAACUGCGCGUGGUGCUGCGCGAGGCGUUCGCGAGUGCUGAUACGCGCGAUGGGAGGGGGUCUAAGCUCAUCGGGUCGUCACAGCAGCGAGUAGUACCGCGCCUUCUGACUGCCUUGGGAAGUGUUUUCACGGCUUUCUUCUUCUCCACAGACGGCGAGGCGGUUCAACGGAGCUUAGAGACGCAGAUUAAGGCAAAACUACUGCUACCCUCGUGCAAUGGGGUCGCCCCGCAGGGCUGGUACGACCCGCCUGCCCAGCGGACCACACAAAGCGCGGCAGCGGAUGCCUUGCUCGAGCGCUUUACAUCAUGGAUGAAUGUUCACCGGCGCGUGCUCCUUGUCGGACCGCCGUUCGCGGGGAAGACGCGACUGUGGCGAACGUGGGCUGGCUCCCAAUCGCCGCUGAUCGUCUCGCUGCCUCUCAUAUCCGCGGCGGACUUUUAUGGCACCUCUACGGAGCCGAGUUUUCUUUCCUUGAUCACUUCACAGAUGACGGCUGCUCGACACAGGAGCAAGGCUCCGGUUGUAGUGAUGGAGGAUGUCGACUCGGCCUCAUCCUUUGCACUCUUUCUGGGUUCUUGGCCGGACAGGGCACGGGUGCUGGAGGGAGAGCUGCACAACAGCAACAGCGUCAUCACUAGCCCACUGGUGCGCGUGAUCGGCACAGCGCAGGGGCUGCACCACGUUACACCCGGGACCCUCAACCGGUUUGCGAUGAUGGCGCUCGCGGGGCCAUCUUCGUGGCACGAAGGGAUCUCUCACGCGCUGGGCUCCAUGCCGGACGCAGAGUGGGUCGCGAGGGUGUUGGAGAAGCUUUUGCCACCGCUGGUGGAGCGUGCAUCGAGGGCCUCGCCCGAGCUCGUAGGAAGGGCAAAGGAGCUGACAAACAUGUACGCCAUGGCUCAACGCGCGGCAGCUCUGUGUAGUCGAUGGUACGCCUACGCACUCACGCUUCAUACACACAGAGGAGCGCUGGAAUUGCAGGAGGACGAAGACGAGGUGCCGCUGCGCUUGUUUGCCGUGCGCUGUGCGGUGAUGGCGGCUACGUGGUCGGUGGGACUCUCGCUCCCUAUGGAAGAUCGCGAUGUAUUGAAACUAUUGCUCCUCGGCGCAGAGACGGACGUGAUGAAAGCGCUGGCGGACUGCGAGCUCUCUGGAGAGAUCUUUCCAGUCUUGUUGAAGGAUAGCGUGAGUCCGCUCGAGCAGGUCGUCCUGCCUCGUGGGUGGAUAUCGUUUGAGGAGGCAGCUACGCGCACCGACUUGCCUCUGUCGUGGUCAGCAGAUUCCCACACCGAUCCGCAUCUCUGCGCGUGGUCGCAGGUGUUUUUGACACCGUCGCGAGCGGCGAUACUGCGGGCGACGGAGUGUUUGAUCAACUGCGGCCAACACGUUCUCUUCCAUGCCGGCCCAGUGGCCGGCAAGUCGACACUGUUGCACACUAUGAAGGCGAACGAAGUCGAUUGGGUUGUGCAGGUGUACAAUGCAAGCGGCGGCAUGCAGCCCAUUCACAUCCAGCAGAGGAUGGCAAGUGAGCUGGUGCCGCGCUCGGAUGGAUGCCACAGCCCAACUCUGGGGCGGCGACUUGUGGUAUGCAUCGACGAUUUGCAUCUGGCGCCGGUGGUCGCACGCAAUGGCGACGACGAUCCACAUACCGCCGCGAUGACGCUCGGUGGGUACUUGAUGCGCUUCUGUGACAAGUUCCGUGCGAUUAGCACGCCAAGGACUGGCACCAUGCCCCUCGCUAACGUUGUCUUCUGCGGCUCGAGCCUGUUUCAGGCCGGCUCAGGGAGUCAAUGCAGCACUGGGGCUCUCAGCGGGUGUGUGGAUGUGCGCUUGCCAGGGUUCGACAGCGACGAAAUCGCGUGCGGCGUGCACCUGUUGUGCAACUUGGCCUCUUCUCGAAAGCGCACCAAGGAAUUUUUGCAAGGCUGCGCCACGUUUCUGGGGCUUGUUCAUGGCGCCUACACUCACCUGAGACUGCGCGUUGCUGCCCUUGCGUCGUGCCCCGCGGUGGCCGUAACACGCCCCGCAUUCACACCAGCCCCGUCUAUUUCCGCAGUGGUGUCGUCCACGCCUCUGAACGACACAAAUGUGGAUGCAUCGGCGAGCCAGCAAGGCAGCAUUCCCUCAUUUUACGCCGAGCACCUCCGAGAUGCUCUGCAGGCGGCAGAAGUGGUGCGACUGCACUUGAUCAGCAACGCGUCGGAUGUGCAGGUUGCCACCCGCGUUUUCCUUGAUGUGACAGCCUUUUACGAGGCGCAGCUGCGUGCACCGCCAUCGCCGAAAGUAACGCAAUGCUCAGAAUCGUUACCGUUGUCGCCACCGCCGCCAAUGGCAGCAGUAGGCCUGGGGGCGAAUGACGCAUCACACGCGCUGCACGGCUCUGCAGUCGAGGCCGCGGAGAGCACCAUGCGCGAAUGCAUCCGUGGCAGCGUCAACUUCACAGACUUGGUCCGUCAGCUUCCGAAUCUCCCGGAGCCUGACGCGAUCGCCGCGGAGGACGAGUCGUUCGUUGCUGACUGCAUUGCCGAGUUUGCAUCUGCCUUGCAGGACGAGAGAGAGGAGGACCUUUCGACGCUGGAGGAAAGGCGUGGGCCAGGAGGCGGGGCGAGCAUCAAAGGCGUUCCAACACGAGGCGAGACGCGGCACACCUCGGUGUUUGUCAGCUAUCCAGACUUCCUCAGGAAGGCAGCGGUGCGGUCAGGGGGUGCACACAAGGGGAUGCUGGUGCGAAGGUCGUCAAGCGUGGCUGCGCUGAGUGGUAAUUCGUCCUUGCGCGGAUCCUUUGCCAUCACUCCGGGAUGCUCAAGCGGGUUAAGCAUGGCGGCGGCAGUGUAUCAACAGCAGAAACUGCACCCCUCUACCCACAUCGUGACAACCCCUACGUACCAGACCACGUGGCUCACCACGCGCCUUGUGUUUCUCCAAGACACGCUUUCCGCUCCCCAUGCGCAGGUCGUGUUUCUGGGAGAGAAUGCGUUUGGCCUGCGCCGACUCUUCCGCUUGUGGUGCGCUAACACACAUGUGCCUUUCAUGUGGUUCCGGAUGCAUCCGUCUGCAUCCCCUGCAGAGGCGAACGCCACCUUCCGCCAUGAUCUUCGCUCUGCCAUCACGUUCGUCUGCAUGAACAGCAUCCACGCGGUCAUUUACCUCCCCCCUGAGCUGCUGCGCAUGCCGGAAGUGCUACUGAUUGUGGACCCGCUAGUGCGCAGCGGCGAUGUAUCGGGUCUGUUCUCGGACGAGGAGCGCAGCUCUCUGAUGCGUGGCUUCCGUGUAACCCAUCCGCGAUCACUAAAGCCGUUUACCCUGGUCGACGACAGUGAGCUGCGUGACCGCCUCCGAAGCUCCUUUAACUUCGUCUUCCACCUGCGUGACGCAGCAGAGGUGAAACGAAUGGCGGCCGCCUACCCCUUUCUGCGGCAGCAAAAGACGAGCGUGCUGCGGCUGUACACGGAGGAGCUGCGGAGCUCGUUGGUGCAGGAACUGGUGUUGUCCGUUCUGCGGAGCAGCGGCGGUGCGGAUGUCGACGGCAUCCCCACCCUCGACAGUGAAGACACGGAGGAGGGGGAAGACGAGGGCGUUAAGGAAGGUGACCGUGACGGGGGUGAUCGCCCUGUGAGCCUGUCGCAACGGGCUGUGUGUAGGGCUCUGUGUGCCAUAUUCGCACAUGUCUCCGAAAGGCACCCGACCUCCUUGAUGCAGCUGAUUGAGUUUGCGUCGCUGUACCGGGACCUGAGUUCGGCGGCGCGCGUGGAGGUCUUGGAAAGCGCUAGAACGGGCACGGUCAUCAUGGACCGCGGGGAUGAAGCAGUACAGAUGGUGAGGACUGUUUCACAGCGAACUCGCGCAAUCGCUGAGGGGCUGGCCGCCGAGCAGCUGCGCAUAGCCUUGCUCUCUGAGAGGCUGCGCGACGAGGAGAACCAGCUCACGACGCAAUCGCUUGAGGCACAGGCGUUCGGCGACAAGCUGCAAGAGAAGAGGGAAGCUCUCGUCUGGCAACGCGCAACUCUCGCCGAUGCCCUGAAGAAGGCAGAGGAACGACUGGAGAAGGCCGCGCGGCAGCUGCGAAAGGCGAAGGUGAACAACAUGCGCGCACUCGCCGUCUCGCGUGUGCCGGAGAAGGGUGCCCUUCUUAUCCGCUGCCUUUACGCGGUGCUCGGUGAAGACCUUCCAAAGCACAACGAUAACCCUCACGAGCUGUGGAGCACCGCCAUGAAACGGGUGUGCACAAAGGAGUUCACGAUGACUCUGACAGGGAUCGCGCCGGACGAAGACCGGACUGCCUUGAAAACCUACCUCCUGCUGCGUCAGGAGCUGGAUGCGGUGCGGUACGCGCCGGCGCAACCGUACGCCCAACUACUGGCCGACUUUGUAGUGGCGUGGGUGGACUGCGGGAAGUUCCGCGCUGAGGACUACGCAACUGGUGUACAGGACAUUGGGAAGUCUGAGGAUGACCUGAAGAAGGACGAGGAGCUCUACGCGACGCGGCUGAAGGGCGUGCAGUCCGCUCUAGGGACUGUGGCGUGCAUCAAGGCUGAGAUUGAUGCAGCACAGCGCUCCACAGAAGCGUUGCAGGGAGAGCAGCGGCAGUUGGCGGGCAUCGAGGACCGACUGAUGAAGUACACCGGACUUGUCGACCGCUUCUCACGAUUUCUGGCGGCGCCGGCGGACGUAGCGGAGCGCACGAAGUUUGCGCGCUGCGCCGCCGCGGACACUUUCCUCGUCUCUGCCUUCUACUCGCUUCUUGCCAUGCACGACAAGGCUAAGGACACGUACGUGUCUCUGCAGCAGCUUCUCGUCGAGACGGUGCAUCCCAGGCUGCACUCCACAGCGCCGCAGGAGGCAUUCGCCUACAUGCUGUACCAGACACACGCCCCACGCACCCGCGCGCUAAUGUUGCCUGGAAGCGAGAACUUUGCGUGGGAGUACAGGGCCCUUUUCAUGGCGCUGUUCAAGCGCGUCGCUUCGCGGUGGACUUUGAUCGGGGCGGCAACGCCACUCAUCGAGCAGGAAGUGUGCAAGUAUCUGUCUCUUUCAUGCACGGGCUGCGUCGUCAUGUCGAUGACGGACCCGUCGGCGAAGGAGCGGCUGAUCGCGGCUAUGCGAGCUGGGGAAGGUGUUCUUCUUCGUGACGUUCACGACCCGGAGUCGCUCGAUUUCAUCCGCUACCUCAACCCUCUUUACUGCAAGCUGAAGGUGCACUGGAACGCAGAGCUGGGUCCGCGGAGGGCGUCGACAACGAUUGCGACUGCGCAGUCGCCCCAGCCAUCGACGAUGCCCUCUGCUCCCCGUCCUGCAGACGAAGAGGAUGCCACUGCACGGUCCGUCUCGCUGUUGCUGGAGGGCCGGGAGGUACGGGUACACCUUUCCUUUUACAUGGUGUGCACCUCCUCGCUGGCGGUGCCCGUCGAAACGAACGCGGUCUGUGACGCCGUCAACGUCUACAACCUCUGCACCCCAAUGCCCCAGCGGCUGUACUACGAGUGUCUGCUCCGCGACGCCGUUUGCACCACGUCAGUGUCCACCAAAAUGUGCAACAUGCGCGAGGAAAUAGCGACACAGCAGCAGGUCUACUUCAGGGUGCUGCAAGACUUUGUGCAGGCACACGAUGCUGCUGCGAAGCUUCUCGCGGCGGACAUCGGCGACAUCCGCGACGGGCUGUGCGGGGACAAGCUGGUGGCGGACGCCGAUCGCGCGCUCGUCGACGUGGACAUGUACGAGGGUCAGCUGUCCCAAACCGUCUACUACGUGCAGAGCUGGCAGAAGGCGGUGCAAGAAGGCUGGGGCCCGGUGCUGCCUGCCGUGGAGGCAGUAGCGAGCUUUGCCGAGCUGAUCGAAGCGGAGAGGCUGCAGCGUCCGUGGAGCGCGUCUGCGUUGGAUAGAUGUCUGAUGGAUAUUGUGCGCUUUCCGCCCGUGUUCACGCGCCACUUCGCGCCGCAGUCGUUUAGUGAUCUUCCGGCGCCGCUCAAACGCUACUACGCAGCGGUGAACUACGUGCAACGCGUGGUAGAGCAGCUCGCCGCCGGCUGGCCUGUGUCAGUGAGGGGCAUCUUCUCGCUGCUGCUGCUUGCGUCGGCGAUGGCGGCCGCACCAGUCGUUUUUGCUGCGAAAACCGACGCGCGUGUGCUGACGGCAGAGCAGACACGAGUGCUACAGGUUCUCCUCCGAGAGGGACUCGGCUGUGUCUCGCCCAGUACAGGAAAGGACCAGAAGGAUGCCUCGAUCAGUUCCUUGUUCUCGCUUCUUUCGUCUGUUGGUUCCACAGAGGAGGAGCUGCGCCGAGGCAUGCUGGAGCUCUACACCACUUCUGAGGAUGCUUUGCUCCACCAUGUGGCGCGAAGAGGCAGCGCCGUUCCAGGCGAGGAGAAGGACCUCAGCAACGACCCCGAGGCUGAUGUAGACGAGAAUCAGUUCUACGUGGCACACUUCUUCUCGUCCAUGGCGGAGCUGCAAGUGGAGCAGGCAAACCACUACGCUGCCUCCCUCUAUGGCACUUUCAUGGAGUCCGUCACACGUUUGGAGGGUGCAGCAGGUGAGCCGAAGCCCCCCGCGAUGCCACUUGCCGCGGACGGGCGCACUGGCAAGCGCUGGAUGCGCACGUCAAUGGAUAUGCCGUCGCAGCGCAUUGCCGACGAGACACAAGAACCAGGCAUGAGCAGCUCUCGCAGCGACGGCGGGAAGGACAGUGCAAAGGAGGCGGAGCUGCGUGAUUUUAUUUCAGUGGGGAUGCAGAUGGAGCGGGCCGCGAUGGCGCAGCAGCCUCUCUGCCUCAUCACUGACUCAGCACUUACAAGUUCUCUGUCGUGGCUUCGCCAUGAGGCUGUGGAGGCGAAGCUCGAUUUUGUCUGGCAGGAGUUGACUCUUUGUAGGGCGACUACGGCAUUCUAUUCUGCCACGACAGUAUCGCCCCCCAAGAGCGGGGCACAAGGCGUCACGUUUGCGACUGCGACGCAGACCCUCAUCUCGCUGACGAAGCAGUUCCGGUUCUCAGGGAAGGGCAGAGGCGUGUGUCUGGCGCUUGUCGUGGACGCAGAUGUUAAGCAAGGCGUCAGCGAAAAGGACGCACGCAUCUUCAGAGAAGAGUUGCAGUGGUUACUUUCUCUGUACACCAACACCUUUCGACCGUCAGGCGGCGGCAAAGUCGGAGCGGCAGUGCAUCUUGCAGUGAUUUGCUCGCCCGCAACAGAGCGGGUGCUAUGGGGAGGGGCCGCGGCUGGUCACGUGACGCUGUGCUGCUAUAUCCCGUUGAGCACCAUUACCCCCCAGCAGCGCCUCGUCCAGCUUCUCCAGCCGUCGCGCCGCUAUUUCACUGACAGUGGUGUUGUGCAGGCUUGCGAGACGAUUCUGCAAAACGUGGCGGCAGAGAUGGCCCAUCGCAGUAGCAUCAACGCAAACCACAGGCCCCCUCCAAAUAAUACGAUGCGCGUCCGCGGACCGACCCUCGCGAAGCUGACGAUGCUCCAAAAUGCGGCGCAGGCGUCGAUGCCGCUUCCAACGCUCCCGCGUUUCACCUCGCCUGCCGCCCUCACUGCCUUACAGAAUGCGGUGGAGAACUUGCUUUGCUGUGCUCGUCUGGCGCAUCAUGAGAUGGUGGUGAGUCAUGUAGUGUCCACCAUACGUGAGCGCAUGCGCUGCGAGGGGAACAAACUCGGCUGCUUCGUCGACGAUCCAGCCCCGCUGGCGCAGCUGCAUGACCUGCUGUCUGAAUGGAUUGUGCGGCGCUACGAGGCGCUCGUUGCCAACCUCAGCAGGUCAACCGCUGAGGAGGUGCAGAGCCCUACCAACGACAGGGCUGCUGCGGCCGAGAGCACUGCGAAGGCUGGAGGCGCGUCCUCGAAGGCGUCCUUGAACGGCGACCUGACCCUUCCGCUUGCAUCACAGUCCAUGCUGCAGCGCGACGCGGUGGAGAGAAACGCCCUCCCGUACGGCCUGAAAGCCUACUACUAUUUGCGCCGCCGGCAACUGGGGUGGCAGCUUCUUCUGGAGCGGCACUUUCAAGCGACACGGCAAACGUCACAAGAGCCCACGCCCGUCAGCUCUCACGCCAGCGUCGAGCGCUUUACCCAUGCUGUGCUCUCCAUUAUGACUGCAAACUCGAAGACGGGUGACGCACUGCCGUCUCGCGGUUCUGCCAGCCGUGACAGCAGCUUGGCGGAUCUCCAAGUGCUGAGUGCCGCUGAGCUACCACUUCACCUCGAGCGAUCGAGUCAGCGUUCGGCGCAGCGGAGUCUGGUGGAGCGCGCGGUGAAGCAGUGGCGCACUGGACUGUUUGCGAUGGCCCGGCAGUUCGCCUUUUUCUUCAUGUCUUGCCACCAACGCAACGACACACUUCCAGUGGUGGAGCAACAGGCGCAGUGGACCAUGCUGCGUGCCUUGAUCGGGAUGCCAGAGCACGGCGACGAGGUUUCUUGUUUCUGGGGGCAGAACAGCGAUGCCUACUCCGCCGGAGAAACGUGGCAGACGCUUAUCCUUGAUGCGCGCUACCUUGAUCACUUCCGGCUGGAGGUCGCCAUGUUCCCCUCUGAUUUGAUGGAGCUGUGCGGCGAGGCGGCGGCGGCGAGACGGCUGCGGCGCAUGCAGCUGGACAGCCUUUUGCAUCUGUGCUUUCCUACUAGCGGCAGCAGCACCUACAAAUCGAGCAAAGCGGCACGCAAGACGCUCGAUAUUCCAAGCACCGCCCCGGCCAUCGCGGCGGCGGAGGAUCUAGGGCGGCCCGUGCACACGCGAGAUGAGCCGGCCAGCGUCUUGGCUUCUCCUGUUGUCCCCGAAGAGGCCGAAUCGAGGUGUGGGGAGUCACUGCUUCAUUUGCCGGCGGCGUCCUCAUCAUCGCAUCGGGCUGUGGUGGCGGACAUACUGCAGUCUUUUUCCAUGGGCCUGGCACGCCACGCAUCAGUCACCGUCGGCGAGCCGUACACGCAGGUGUGGCUGCCAUCUCUGCGCCACCCUAUGCUCGAUCUCGAGUUUCUCACAACGAUUGUGCGGCGCCCUGCGUCGUCGCCCAGCGAUUCCGCCACAGAGGCACGAGCGGCGCACGCCACGUCGCGCGACGAUAAACCCUUCUCUGAUGGCAUGUGGGAGGAAGGCCAGCAAGACGGUCACUAUCGUUUGGCAGGCGAGAGGGAUCACAACGCUGCUGCUAGUCGGCUCAUUUUGGUGGUGACGCAGCGGCGCUAUCUGCUUCCGUCCGACGUUAUACUUACGGGUGCUCGACUGUCUCUGGCGCUCGUGAGGCAGCUGGCCGCGCAGACGCAGUGGCCGGUGGGUCGAGAUGGCGACGAGACUACCGCAGGACUGACGGCGGCGGUGGUGGUGGUUCGGAGAGUGCUGGUUCGACCACGCGCCCAGAUCGUGGAAGGAUGUUCGGAGAGGGCGGAAACGCCUGCUCGAACACCUACCUACGAGGUAGGGAUGUGGAUGUGGCCGACAAAUUCAUCGUGGGACACAACCCAUAGCAGCUCGCAGCUGCGAUGGUACGCCGUCACGUGCUCACGCCUACCGGCCGACGCGCUCCUGUGGGACGCCACGAUCGUGUGCCGCCCUACUGCGGCAUCGGCUGCUCACUCCUCGUCCACAGCGUCAGAGUCGCCGCGACGCCGAGAGGAUGCUUCAGACAACACGUUCGUCACGGAGAUAGAGGAGCCGGCAAAGACAGCCACACCGAAGCAGGUGGACCUCGACGCACCUCGUUCAUGGAGCGUUACUGAGGUGCCGGUCCCUGUACGGUGGCAUCCUCUCUCAGGCGACUCGAGCAGGGGUGUCAAAGGAAAAGGUGCUAUCAUGUUAGAGCUCUACCUCUGCGUCGAGUAUGAGCCACUGGCGAUACACAACUAUGGUUUCGGGUCCGAUACCUCGAACAGCUCCCCAUCGUCGUCGUCGAUGACUACCGCCACCGGUGCCUGUGCUUCCUGUGCCACUCGAGGGGCCUGGGACACACUGCAACUUCACGAGACUCUGGACGCCUACGUUUGGAUAGAAUGAGCCGGCGUUCUCGCGGCACACACGUCGUGCACGCGUGGAGCAACGCCGGUGAAAUCCGUGCGCCCGCCCAUCGUUUCUUUGCCUGUCUAUUUCUCUCCUGCUAACUGUCGUGACCUCUGAUGUACAUAGGUGGCAAAUUUUGUGCCCCCCCCC
rnacentral:misc_RNA from 1 species